GCGAGGGCUUCUCGCACCGUCCCCUGGGCGAUGCCGUGUCCCGGCUACGUCCCGCGGGCCGCAGCUACAAGGCUGGAAGCUGGGCGAGUUACCGAAGCGAUAAGCGCAGGUAGAGUUGGGUCACACCGCAGAGCGCACAGGAGACACUCUUGCAUCAGAGCAGUGUGCCUGGUAUCUCCUGCUGCCAGCCAUCGCCUCUCCUUAUAGCCUGUCGUCGAUGUGUUGCUUACAGCUUGCUUCAGAGCCGUGUUAAUUGCGUUACUGAACACAGAAGGGUGUGUGUGUGUGCAAGGGACCUGCUUGUACGUUUGUGUCAAACACUUCUUUUAGCUUGACCAUGAGAAGACCACAUGCAUGCUAAGCAAUAGAUUUAUACCAUCUAACAAAGCCUCCUUAUGAUCUUUCAUCCUCUAGCCGGGCUGAUGGAGGAAUAAAAACUGUCAUCUGACGCCUGUCUGGUGACAUUCACAUAAGGAGUGCUGUUUGCCGGGUUCCUGGUGCAGAAUUGUCUACAAAAGCUUGCUCUGCAGCAGGCACAUACCUACACGGUGUUCCUCUUAGGGAGGAUGCUGUCAUGUCAGGUCCGCAACGUGGUCAUCAGAGCAUUACACCGCAUCCGACACCUGGGCCCGCCUGGCCGUGUGUCCUUUCCCUUGUACUAGAUGGUAUCAGCUCCUGCAGAGGAUAUAAAACCUGUACCCCUGGAGCGUGAAAUUUAUAUCCUUAUAAGAAUCUCUUAUCUGAUGGACAGGCAAAAUGUGUUACAAAAGCCUCAUCCUCUUCUGUCUUCACCACCCUCCACCUCUCUUUUCUUUUUAGACUUGUGACAGUGAUGAUAUUGUAACAUAUCGACGGCAAAAGCACUGUCAGAGCAAAACAUGUGAUACUGCCUGUUGAAGGGAAGAGGAUGAACGAUUUCAGCUUUCAGUGUUGUGCGAACAGACACGAAGAAGAAAAUCAAUUUUUAUUAUCUUGUCAUUUAGUUUUGUAGUAUUGUUAUCUUACUGGUUUGGAAAUAAAGUUAAUUCUUAGGAAAAGAAGUUUAAAAACAACAAAUAGGCUGUAUUAAUUGUUCUGAGAUAAUAAAUAGGAUGAUAUUUGUUCGGCUGGUAUGACAGCUGUUCAGGCUUUUCCAAAUUGGAAAAUCAUUCUGUCAUAAGUACAGAGCUACAUGUGGGAGGAGAGGUUGCUCAGUUAAGCUUGCCUAAUUGUCAGAAACAAAUUACAAACAGCCCAAAAUACUUCCAAAGGAAAGCACUGCACAAAGCGGUUUUUUUUUUCUUUUUUUUCUUAUCUUUUAAAUAGUUUUCCAUCUGUUGCAGGAAAGGAGCACUUGGCCUGGUGUUCCAGUGCCCCAGUGCCCAGCAAGCUGUGAAUUCAAACCGUGUGACCAACCAACUGUACAUGUUUUCUUUAUUGUUUUUUUCAUAAACUGAAACUUUGGUUUUCUGGUAUCAGAGUCCAUAAUGUGCCAUUAGACUCAGAUAAGUGCAGCAGAAUGGGAGAGGUAUCACCUGGCUCCCCUGAAGGUGUGCAAAGGUUUUUAAUGACUAAGGGCAGAGGAAAUCAUUUGUCUUCUGUGUUGCAGCUUCUCCUUUGACUUUUUGCUUAUCUGCAGACCAAAGCUGAAUUGUGUUAAUACUUUAGAACAGACUGUGUAUGUGUGUGUCUUCAGAAGUCUCCUCUUACAGAAGUCUAUGGUGCUGAAGGUGUGUGUGAAGGAAUGAAUGCCUUUUUUCAUUCUACCAGGUCUGCCUUACAGUGAAUACGUCUAAUGAGCUAAUUAAAAAUGCAGGGAAAUCCGGGAAAGCAGUGAAGAAACAACAGAAAUGCAUUUCCAAGUGCAAGAAUAGCAAGGUCAGUUUUUUGAAAUACUGCUAGUUUUUAGGGAGUGGUAGAAAUCAGUCACAGAAUUGUGGGACAGGCCACAUGUGACCCUACUGUAUCUAUCUGUUGUGUAAAACUGCUCGAGUUACUAAAAACAUGUAUUAAGUUUUAGGAGUUUCCCUUUCAAUUAAUGACUCUGCUAUACAGAACUCCUAGUCAGGAUGAAAAUCAUAAUCACAUGUAAGACUUCAGAGGAAAGAAGAUACUGAAAGAGAAACUGAAAAACUGAAGAUGUUGCGCUUGCAAGCAAGGGUGUGGGGCUGUUCGUUUUGUUGUAUAUGGCGGUUGAUGGCCAUGGUGGAAGCAGACAGAACCCAGCAGUGCACAGCAAGUCUUUAAUUAACAGGUCUGACUGAUGACUAGCUCUUCCGAUUUUCUACGAGAGAUUUGAAGACCACUUCGAGAAGACUGUCAGAAGUCUCAAGGUGAAAUGUUUGCUUCUGGACCAUUUUUGGAAAGAAGGCAGAAUCUGCAGCAUGAAGGCUGGCCUGGCAUGUGAUUUGAAUCUAGAUGGGAAUCAUGAUCAGCUCAAAAAUUUAAUAAAGUCUCUUCUUGUACCAUCCUGCCUACUUGGAGCUGGCUCGAAAGUACUUCCAGCUUUCAAGACAAGUAGUUGAUUGAAAAUUAAUGUCUUCUCUUUACUUCCAUGGAAACUACAACAGAUACAAAGAGCACAACACCACUGUUUGAUAGAGCAAAUUCUCAGCUACAGAACACUAUUUUUCAGUAUAAUUUCUACUAUUUGUUCUGCAGUAGUGAAUGGCCUGCAUUCUGCACUCAUUAAAAUCUGCAUAGCCAUCCAGAACAUGGCUUGUCUUUUAUGUCACUGUUACUACUCCUAAAACACAACACCCCCUGCCUCACUGUGCUUGCAUCCACUGUUUGGUCUCCAUCAACUUUCAGGAAGCAUUGAUGAAUGUCAGCGGGUGCCAUUUUUUCCAAGUGGAGGAAUUCACCUUUGCUUUGUCCGUUUUUCAUGUCAGAUGCCAUUUCAUCAGAGUGCCCCUCUGUUGCUAUCUGUCACACAGCAACAAAAUGUAUCAGGAUAUUGAUGGAAAGGUUCAACCUCUACUGCUAUAUCACCACCAUCUGCCUUUGAUAUCGUGGGUGAACACAAUAAAAUGGAAGGCAUUGCUUUUGGAGCAGCCCUAGUAAAUUAACAAUAAAUAGUGCUAUGCAAUGACUUUUUCCUAAUAAACAAUGUGGCUGGA